UACGUAGGGGGCGAGCGUUGUCCGGAAUCAUUGGGCGUAAAGCGCGUGUAGGCGGCUCGAUAAGUCCGGUGUGAAACCUUGGGGCUCAACCCCAAGCCUGCACUGGAUACUGUCGAGCUCGAGUCCGGGAGGGGAGAGCGGAAUUCCUAGUGUAGCGGUGAAAUGCGCAGAUAUUAGGAAGAACACCGGUGGCGAAGGCGGCCUGCUGGGCAGUGGCUGACGCUGAGGCGCGACAGCGUGGGGAGCAAACAGG
rnacentral:rRNA from 1 species